rnacentral:lncRNA from 1 species
UGGCACUUGGCUUUGAAUUUUUUUUUACAGAGCUUUUGUUUUAUUAGAACCAUGUUUAUACUCUUGAAUUUUGGCUGAAGCAUGUUGAGUUUGCUACAUUUAAUACGGUGAUUGAAGGGAAUUUCAACACUUUUGAGUGAAUUAUUUUUCAGCAUUUUAUGAUUGCAGUUUUAUGCACUUGGAUGAUUUACUUGCUGGAGAAAAGAGGAAGCGCU